GAAAACUGAUACUCAGAGGUGUUAUACAACUUGAAAAGGUCCCACAGCUAGGAAGCCACCUGCUGUUUUCUAACUACAACUAAGGAGCCCGAACUAAGGCUGAAUGUGGUUAUAAAGACUUGAUGGUCCAGGGGUCAGUCCAGAGAUAAUGACCUUAGAAAAUCCUUUCUCCAGUGAUGCUCUCCUCAUUUUCUGGCUCCUGGUUGUACCUACCUGGUUGCUUGCUGGACACACAGAUAAUAGCAGACCUCGAUGCAUAGUUACCUAAUGAAAUUCCUUUGCUUGAGAUGUUCUAAAUUCAUCAACCAAAAGGGAAGUGUUUCAAUAAUAACUCAAAGUUAGAGGUGUUUCCCCCAUAAAAUCUGGAUUCAUCCUUGCCUACAGCAAUACUUUUGGAAAAAACUAUCUAUCACUCAAAAUCAAGAUCAGAUGUCAUUUCCUUUAUAAACUACCUCCUGAAUCCCUAAUCAGCUCCUUCGGAACAAAAUCAAAGGGGAAGAAAGGGCAAAAGAAGAAACAACCUGUCUGUUUUCCCAGAGGAGGAGGGUUUUCAUGUUAGAUGGUCCCAAAUCACCUAAACUCGUUUAUGUCUUGAGCUGAUUAUAUUCAGAAAGAGCUGAUGGCACUCUGGAAAAAUCAGCCAAAGUCUUCCUUCUACUUGUGAACUUGGACAUUUUUGGUCAAAACAGAACUAGUGAUCUCUGAUAGUAUCAGAUCUAAUCUCGCUCCACAGUUUCUUGACUUGAAACCGAGCUUCUUCAUUGGCUGUUACCACUUCAGUGGUUGCAUGAUGCCAGGCAGACAGAAGGCACCAAGCACUACAAACUAUACUUGUGCAGCUCAGUGUGCUGUGAUAAAUAAUGCAGCGCCAUACGAGGGGGACAUUUUAAAAAGAGAACAAGCAGACACAGAAAUGGAAAUUAACCCCAGGCCUGCCAGCCUCCAUCAGGAAUAAUGGCGUCACCUAAUUCCAGGGUUAAAUGAGAGGUGAACCUAAUGGAAUCUCAACAGUCCUUGAACAUGGAAGAAGGAGGCAGAAGAGUCAGAGAAGGACUCGACCUUGUUUCUGGCUUUGAAGACGGAAGGAAGCCAAAGGCCACUCACUGAAUGCAGGCAACUUCUAGAAGCUGGAAAAGGCAAGAAAAUAAACUCUCGCCCAGAGCCUCCAGGAAGGAACACAGCCCUGUGAACACCUCGAUUGUAUGCCAGGGAAACCUGUUUCAGACUUGUGGCCUACAGAAUGCAUGGCAAGAUCCUAAAUUUGUGUUGCUUUAAGCCACUCAGUUUGUGGUAAUUUGUGACAGCAGCAGUAGGAAAGAAAUGAAGUUAUGGAUGUAAACUGGAAUCAGAGUGAAGAGCCCUGUCAUAAAGCUUAGCAGUCUGGCCCCCAUGCUGUAGAAAGUGGGGAGCAGCAGGUAUUUGAAAGCACGGUCAGCUUGUUGAUGGAACCAUCUCUCGGUAUCAGUGUGGAGGCAACUGAUAGCAGAGGGACCACUGUGGAGACUGAAAAUAUCCCAUGUGAGGGACUAGCAAAACCGAAAUGAAGGCCCUAGAGGCAUUAUUAUUGUUAUUACUAUUUUGUCACACGUUAUUACUUAG